GUACAGACUGCUGCCCGCUGGCUGGCUAGGUUGCUCUAUAAGUAAGGCUUUGCUGUACAGACUGCUGCCCGCCGGCUGGCUAGGUCACUCUGCCAACCUCUUCUUCCAUCGGUUGCUGUGACUGGGCCAGCCUGCAACAGUCCCCUCCUCCUCACUGCAUUCUGCAGGACUAUGGAGUUCAGUGCUGUGUGCCUAGUUCUGUACUUGACCUCUGGCACAUGCAAAAGCCCAUGUGUACUAAUAAAUGAAUGAAGAAAAUUUGUGAC
rnacentral:lncRNA from 1 species